rnacentral:rRNA from 1 species
GUCUCAGUUCGGAUUGUAGUCUGCAACUCGACUACAUGAAGCUGGAAUCGCUAGUAAUCGCGAAUCAGAAUGUCGCGGUGAAUACGUUCCCGGGUCUUGUACACACCGCCCGUCACACCAUGGGAGUUGGGAAUGCCCGAAGCCGGUGACCUAACCGAAAGGGAGGAGCCGUCGAAGGCAGGCUUGAUAACUGGGGUGAAGUCGUAACAAGGUAAC